AUAAAAGCUUACCAAGCCGACGAUCUGUAGCUGGUCUGAGAGGACGACCAGCCACACUGGGACUGAGACACGGCCCAGACUCCUACGGGAGGCAGCAGUGGGGAAUUUUGGACAAUGGGCGCAAGCCUGAUCCAGCCAUGCCGCGUGAGUGAAGAAGGCCUUCGGGUUGUAAAGCUCUUUCGGACGGGAAGAAAUGGCGGGCUCUAACAUAGCCUGUCGAUGACGGUACCGUAAGAAGAAGCACCGGCUAACUACGUGCCAGCAGCCGCGGUAAU
rnacentral:rRNA from 1 species